rnacentral:rRNA from 1 species
UAAGUAACCUGCCCUAGACAGGGGGAUAACUGCUGGAAACGGCAGCUAAGACCGCAUAGGUAUGGACACUGCAUGGUGACCAUAUUAAAAGUGCCAAGGCACUGGUAGAGGAUGGACUUAUGGCGCAUUAGCUGGUUGGUGAGGUAACGGCUCACCAAGGCGACGAUGCGUAGCCGACCUGAGAGGGUGACCGGCCACACUGGGACUGAGACACGGCCCAG